CCUACGGGUGGCUGCAGUGGGGAAUAUUGGGCAAUGGAGGAAACUCUGACCCAGCAACGCCGCGUGAAUGAUGAAGGCUUUCGGAUUGGAAAGUUCUUUUCUAAGGGAGGAAGAAGGUGACGGUACCUUAGGAAUAAGCCUCUGCUAACAACGAGCCAGCAGCCGCGGUAAUACGUAGGAGGCAAGCGUUAUGCGGAAUGAUUGGGUGUAAAGGGUGCGUAGGUGGUUGGACAAGUUGGUCGUGAAACUCAGGGGCUCAACCUCGGCACUACUACAAAUACUGUUGGACUUGAGAGCAGGAGGGGCAAAUGGAAUGCCUAGUGUAGCGGUGGAAUGCGUAGAUAUUAGGAGGAACACCAGUGGCGAAGGCGAUUUGCUGGGCUGUAACUGACGCUGAGGCACGAAAGCGUGGGGAGCAAACAGGAUUAGAUACCCUAGUAGUC
rnacentral:rRNA from 1 species